rnacentral:rRNA from 1 species
CUCAAAUUUGAAAUCUGGCAGCUAUGCUGUCCGAGUUGUAAUCUAGAGAAGUGUUUUCCGUGCUAGACCGUGUACAAGUCCAUUGGAACAUGGCGUCAUAGAGGGUGAGAAUCCCGUCCAUGACACGGUGACUAGUGCUCUGUGAUACACUCUCAACGAGUCGAGUUGUUUGGGAAUGCAGCUCAAAUGGGUGGUAAAUUCCAUCUAAAGCUAAAUACAGGCGAAAGACCGAUAGCGAACAAGUACCGUGAGGGAAAGAUGAAAAGCACUUUGGAAAGAGAGUUAAACAGUACGUGAAAUUGUUGAAAGGGAAACGCUUGAAGUCAGUCGCGUCUUCAGAAAUUCAGCUAGUGAAACUAGUGUACUUUUCUGUUGGACGGGCCAGCAUCAGUUUCAGCCACCAGAAAAGGGUAAGAGAAAGGUAGCAUCUCCGGAUGUGUUAUAGUCUCUUAUCARUAUAUGGUGGCAGGGACUGAGGAACGCAGCACGCCCUUGUUGGCCGGGGUUCGCCCACGUAACGUGCUUAGGAUGCUGGCGUAAUGGCUUUAAACGACCCGUCUUGAAACACGGACCAAGGAGUCUAACAUGCAUGCGAGUAUUUGGGUGGCAAACCCAUWUGCGUAAUGAAAGUGAAUCACAGUUGGGACUUGUGUCAUGCAAGGCACCGACGCCCGGUCCAUGAUCCCUCCGUGGUGACGGAUCCGAGGUAGAGCAUGUAUGCUGGGACCCGAAAGAUGGUGAACUAUGCCUGAGUAGGGUGAAGCCAGAGGAAACUCUGGUGGAGGCUCGUAGCGAUUCUGACGUGCAAAUCGAUCGUCG